CAGGAAAAGAGGGAAACGACAUCGGCAGGGAGACGCGAGAGUUCGCUCGUUGAUGACUCGGUUGACUGAUGCAGGAAGGGGCUUUGCGAAAGAGGUAGAGAAGCCCUCCUUAACACGCCUCUGCUUUGAUAAGCCAAAGCGAAAUGGAGAGAGCACCGUCGUGCCUUCUUCUCCACUCCUCUCUCUUUUGUAGGUGGCGGUGGUAGCAGUGGUAAUACUGCUAACCGUGAUAGCCUCACCAAGGCCCCCUCCGCCGCCUGCCGAGAACGUCCUCCAUCGCUGCUGGAUCUGCACCCUCCCUCCCUUCUCCACUCUCUCUCGGGUUUCGAUCUCCCCGUGUCCUUCCUCUCGUCUUGAGAAAUUAGGGUCUUGGAAGGCCACCGCCUUUAGCUGCUUGGAUCAAGAAAGGUUGCUGCUUUUUCUUUGGUUCCCCGUGAUUUCUUGGUCGACGAUGAAGCGGCCGGGAUCGUCCUCGUACGGGGAUGAUUUCGACGACGAUGACGGUAUAGGCGGGAGGAUGAGCUUCAAGGACUGGCCGAGGAGGAAUCAAGAUCCCGACCGUUCGUCGUCGUCGUCGCACCGGCGACUCUCCUACUCGAAGACGGAGGGUCCGCGGAAGGUGGCGCCCUCCUCGUCGUCCUAUGGUCGGUCGCUCGACGACGACUGGGAGCCGGCACGGCACACCCGGAGACGUUAUGAUCAUGAGCUGGAGUCCUUAGAUUGGCGGAAGGGCCACAGUCGGUACAGGGUUGGUGGUGAUCGAAUGAUGCAGGUCUCGUCGCCGAGGGUCUCGUAUGGGGGCGACCUGAUGCGCCGUUCAGAGAGCUUCUCGGGGCUGAGAAGGGACGUCCCGAAGGGUUUCAGGUCGGAGAGGGACCGGUUGAGGAGGGACGGGAAUGGUAGCUCGUCGUGGUGGAGAUCGAGAAGCUCGAAGGAGCUCAGUGUUGAGGAAGUGCGGAAAUCGCCGUCGAUUGAUUCAGAUUCAGUGGGGAGACGGAGUCAUGCUACGUCGCCAGAUGAUCAUAGAGGGAAAGUGAGGUCCAAGGACUCCUCGAGUGGGCUGCGAUCUACAAGAGUCGAGGCAAAGACCGUAAAGACAGUGAAGUCAAUCAGAGAAGGUGGCAACAGUAGCGAGAUGGAAGAGGGAGAGCUCGAACCGGAUCUGGUGUCAGAAGCAGAACCUGUAGCUGAACCUUCCAUGGGUAGCAAGACAGCAACUGGAGUGGAAUCAAAGAACUGCAAGGACAGAAAUCCAGAGUACAAUAGUCUUCCUGAAGAAGUAUCAAAGGAGAUCUUAUUAAGUGGAAAGAUGUUGGACAUUCAUGGUAAUGGUUCUCUUGCUGUAAAGGAAGAAGGAAAGUUAACAGAAGUCAUAAUGGACACAGGAAAUACUAGUGAUGAGAUAAAAAAUGAACAGUGUGAUGCUACGAAGGAGCUCGAUGAGAGUAGCAAGUUAACUUAUCCAAUAAACAUGAGUGACCAGGUAAGCAAUGACCGAUGUGAUGCUGUUAAGGAGUUGAGUGAGAGUAGCAGGGACGGUGAGAGUAGCAGGGAAGGAGAGCAAAAAACUAAGCGCACUAAUGGGAAUAAUGAACUGGAGGAUAAAUUUUGUGGAAAGAAGUGUGCUGCUGUCAACAAGCUGGUUGAGAGUAGGAGGGGAGGUGAAGGAACAACUAAGGAUUCUAUUGGAGAUACCGAGGUGGAAGUUAAAUUUUGUGGGAAGCAGGAAGUCUGUAAAGAAGAAACCUUGUGCUCACAGUUUCAAGGGGAAAAACUGGAAGGCAAUGAUGAAGAGCAGGCAAUUGAAGAAGCAGCAAAAGAAAUGACAUCUGCUAUUUCCCCUUGGCAUGAAGAGAAGUUAGUGGAGAAUAAGGAAGAAGCCAAACAUAAUGAAACUAUAGUUGAAAUCGAGCAGGCAGUCGAGGAAGAAGUGAAAGAGAUGACGUCUAUUAUUUCCCCUUCGCAGGAAGAAAAGUUAGCAGAGAGUAAGGAAGAAGCCCAAUCCAGUGAAGCUAAAGUUGAAACCGAAGAGAAGCAUGAGAUGGGUAAUGAACAAGGUAUGGAAACUGAAGUUAAUUUUCAAGAAAGAUUUGAAACUGCCAUAGGGCUUAAAGUUGAGCAGAAAGAACAAAGAGGUACUGAUCUUGAGACUCAACCAAAGGGUGCUGUUAGCUUGUUAGAUCAAAUUAAGGAAGUUACUUGUGAGACUAACCAUGAGCUAGUGACGCUGGCGCUUAUGAGUAACCGCCAGAACAGGGAGAACUACAAGGGAAAAGGUAAGGGGCUCGCAAUUUCUCUCUUAACUAAAGGGGAUCUUGUAGAAGAUGAUUGUGCCAUGGAGGGCCCUAGUGGAAGAGACCUCGAGUUGAUUUUCAGAUCUGACAUUAGCCAGUCUGAUAAAGCAAGCUCAAGUACGCUUGUCCCCCACGCUCUUGCAGAUGAGAAACUCAAAAUUGAACCUCUUGAUCUCUCUCUUGCUCUGCCAGGUGGUUUAUUGGAUCAUUCUUCAAAACAGUCAAAGCCAAAACCUGAAAUCCCAAGCUGUGCUAGGAGCAUCCAGUCUUUUCCAUCCUCAUUCAGAACAAAUUCAGAUGGAUUUGAAACUUCCAUGUCAUUUACAAGCUCUCAACCCUUCGUUCAUAAUCCCAGUUGUUCUCUCACUCAAAAUUCGUUGGACAAUUGUGAGCACUCUGUUGGUAGCCAUCCUAUAUUACAAGGAAUGGAUCAGGUUUCUGGUGGUCUGAUAUGGCAGGCUCAGGCUUCAAAUGACUCUAGAAGGAAAGGAUCUAGCUCUUUCUUCCAAAGGGUACUUAUGAAUGGUAAUUCUGCACAUGAUUCACAUCAUAUCAUGAAUGCCGAUCAUCAGUCAAAGUCCAGUGGCUUAGUCCAGCACUCAAGCCUUUCAAGACAGAUGUCCCUGAUGAACAGCCAUGGUACUCAUGAUAUGACAUCUCAACUUAACAAGGAUAAGAAGCUGCUCGCUGGGGAGAGAAGUAGCAGCAUUGUGUGUAGGACCGAGCAACAGGAUAGCGAGCAGCUUGUACUUAAUGGUUCUUGUGUCAUGGAGAAAAUUCUCUCUAAAAUUGUGGUAGAACCUUUAUAUCUGACUGGAAGAAUGCUUCAGGAAAUGACAGAUCAUUCAGUAGCAUACUUGAGGGAAUCCAUUUCGGAGAUGCUGGCUAAUACAAAUAAAAGAAGGCAGCUGUAUGAAUUUCAGGAGGAGCUUCAAAGGAGGUCUGACAUGACGAUGGAUACAUUAAUCAACUGUCCUCAAGUCCUACUACAGAUCCUGGUGGCAAUAAAAACAGGUCUUCCUGAUUUUAUUCAGGGAACAUCUAAUUUGUCAUCCUCCAGUUUGGUUGAGAUCUUCCUGAACUUGAAGUGCAGGAAUCUUGCUUGUCGGAGUUCCUUGCCAGUGGAUGAUUGUGAUUGCAAAGUUUGCAUAGAGAAAACUGGCUUUUGCAGUGCUUGCAUGUGUUGUGUGUGUUCCAAAUUUGAUAAUGCAUCAAAUACUUGUAGUUGGGUUGGUUGUGAUGUAUGCCUCCAUUGGUGUCACACAGACUGCGGAUUACGUUAUUCUCAUAUUAGAAAUGGAAGUAGUGCCUCAGGGGAAGGGAUUAGUGAGAUGCAAUUUCACUGUGUUUCUUGUCACCAUCCUUCGGAGAUGUUUGGUUUUUUUAAGGAGGUUUUUCAAACCUGCGCCAAGGAUUGGAAAGCAGAGACUCUUGCUAAGGAGCUUCAAUAUGUCAGAAGGAUCUUUUCCACCAGUAAUGAUAGACGGGGUAAAAGAUUACAUGAAUUGGUCCAUAAGAUGCUGCUGAAUCUGGAGAAGAAAGUUAAUCAUUCUGAAGUUGUUAUUCACAUUUUGACAUUCCUUUCUGAUAGUGAAUCUAACAUUGGCAGCUUCCUCUGCACACCCAAGGAGCCAUCCAAAAAUAAGGCUGGCCAUUGCAAUGCUAUAGCUUGCUCAAGCAAAGACUGCUUGCCAUCUGUCUUGCCAGAGAAGGCCUCCCUUCUUGCAAAUGCAGGUCUUGUUUUAAGCAUGGACUGUGACCAGGUUGGUAAGAAAGCUAGGGACAUUGAGCUACGUCUUGAGAAGAAACCAGUUAGUGAUGAGCUGGAGAGUCUCAUAAUGUUCAAACAAGCAGAGGGCAAAAUGUACCAAGAACGUGCUGAUGAUGCAAGGAGAGAAGCGGAGAGCCUAAAACACAUAGCGAUAGCAAAGAAUAUUAAGAUCGAUGAAGACUACGAUGGUCGACUUAAAAAACUACGACUGGGUGUGUUAGAGGAAAGGCGUAGACAAAAGUUUGAAGAUCUACAAGCUGCUGAAAAGGCACACCGGGAGUUUUUCAACAUGAAAAUGCGGAUGGAAGUUGAUAUCAAAGAUCUCUUAUUAAAAAUGGAAGCUACCAAACAGAGCCUAAAUACAUGAUUGGAAUUCAAAGACCAACACUUUCGGAUAGUUGGCUCUCUUGUUAGAUUACUGCAGUGAUAGGUCACCUGCAUAUGUAGGAAUCUUCCACUAAAGUUUAUCAUAAUCAAGGGGUUUGGAAGUCAAACAUUCUUCACAUACGAGUAUUCUGAGGUUCCUCAGAGCUGUGUUCGAGCAGAUGCACUGAGUACUGCUAUCUUUUGAUCUCCCAAACAUGUUCAGAUUAUUUCUUAGCCUUCCAAACCACAUGUACGUGCAGAGCUUGUUGUGCCUCUGGAUCAGUUGAGGGCAGUCAAUCAUUCCUUCAACACAUGGAACCCUUCAGUGAAACAUGGCGGAACACGGAUUUCACAGCUCACCAACAUCACUGGGUUGGAGAACAACGUGCUGCAAAUAAAGUAAGUUUGCAUCAUAGAAUACGAUUCAAGUCAGGUGCUGUCAAGACAAUGUUAAUAUAGAUUAUGAUAAGAUGUUUGCUGGUUUAGCCAGUAAGACUUCUAACUAUUGAUAACAAGAUUUGGCAGCAAAUCCAGUUCUAUAUCUGCAAAAGGUGUAUUGUUCCUGUUGUAGGUGUAGGUGACAGACACGAGAACUCCUUAUCCAUGUCUUCAAUAUCAUGAUCCCAUCCUAGGAAUCGCCAUCAUCCACAGAGGAGGCCACUCUGAGGACUCCUCUUGAAGCCAUAAUGUAUACAAGAACAGUGCCUGACUUGCCAUGUGUUUUGAGAACUUGUACUUUAACAUUCUUAGAGCAUAUCUCUACAGAGAGAGCUGAGAAGGGAUCGAGAUCGGAUCAAGUAGUGUAGCGCCGCAGCCAGAUCUUGACGUCGGCCACCAGUAACCCCUCCUCCACCUAUCGUGGAGAGACAGGAGAAGCAUCAUGCCAUCUCUACUAUCGUGGAAGCGUGGUAGCUGUCGAAAGGGGCAGCCCCAAAGGGGAAGGUAUGCAUGUGUCUGUAUUGGUAGAAACUAUCUCAAAUCAGGUCAUGCAUGUAUUUAUAUGUAUAUUUACAUAUAUUUCCAAACUAUGUUAGUUUGUGUAUCUUGUGAUGUGGUCAACUUGAUUGCACGAGAAAAAUUCAAGCUUUGUGUAUGAAUUUUGGUCACCAAAUGCAUUUACUUAA